UACGAAGGGGGCGAGCGUUGUUCGGAAUUACUGGGCGUAAAGGGCGCGUAGGCGGCCGAUCAAGUCAGAUGUGAAAGUCCUGGGCUUAACCUGGGGACUGCAUUUGAUACUGAUUGGCUUGAAUGCAGGAGAGGAUAGCGGAAUUCCCAGUGUAGAGGUGAAAUGCGUAGAUAUCGGAAGGAACACCAGUGGCGAAAGCGGCUUCCUGGUCCAGCACCGACAUUCAGGCACGAAAGCGUGGGGAGCAAACAGG
rnacentral:rRNA from 1 species